rnacentral:rRNA from 1 species
UAUCAUGCAGUCGACGGGAUUUGGGAGCUUGCUUCCAUGAGAGUGGCGCACGGGUGCGUAACACGUAUGUAACCUACCUUAAUCUGGGGGAUAGCCUCUCGAAAGAGAGAUUAACACCGCAUAACAUCACGAUAUAGCAUUUUAUUGUGAUCAAAUAUUUAUAGGAUUAAGAUGGGCAUGCGGAACAUUAGCUAGUUGGUAAGGUAAUGGCUUACCAAGGCUACGAUGUUUAGGGGAUCUGAGAGGAUGACCCCCCACACUGGUACUGAGACACGGACCAGACUCCUACGGGAGGCAGCAGUAAGGAAUAUUGGUCAAUGGGCGCAAGCCUGAACCAGCCAUGCCGCGUGCAGGAAGACGGCCCUACGGGUUGUAAACUGCUUUUGUACCGGAAUAAACUUUGAUACGUGUAUCAAGCUGAAUGUACGGUAAGAAUAAGGAUCGGCUAACUCCGUGCCAGCAGCCGCGGUAAUACGGAGGAUCCAAGCGUUAUCCGGAUUUAUUGGGUUUAAAGGGUGCGUAGGCGGUUCUUUAAGUCAGGGGUGAAAGACGGUAGCUUAACUAUCGCAGUGCCUUUGAUACUGAAGAACUUGAAUACACUUGAGGUAGGCGGAAUGUGACAAGUAGCGGUGAAAUGCAUAGAUAUGUCACAGAACACCAAUUGCGAAGGCAGCUUACUAAAGUGUCAUUGACGCUGAGGCACGAAAGCGUGGGGAUCAAACAGGAUUAGAUACCCUGGUAGUCCACGCCCUAAACGAUGAAUACUCGAUGUUGGCGAUAUACGGUCAGCGUCUAAGCGAAAGCGUUAAGUAUUCCACCUGGGGAGUACGCCCGCAAGGGUGAAACUCAAA